rnacentral:rRNA from 1 species
UACGUAGGGUGCAAGCGUUGUCCGGAAUUAUUGGGCGUAAAGAGCUCGUAGGCGGUCUGUCGCGUCGAAUGUGAAAAUCCGAGGCUCAACCUCGGACCUGCAUUCGAUACGGGCAGACUAGAGUUCGGUAGGGGAGUCUGGAAUUCCUGGUGUAGCGGUGAAAUGCGCAGAUAUCAGGAGGAACACCGGUGGCGAAGGCGGUUCUCUGGGCCUUACCUGACGCUGAGGAGCGAAAGCGUGGGGAGCAAACAGG